GAUGAACGCUGGCGGCGUGCCUAAUACAUGCAAGUCGAGCGAAGCGGGGACGGGUGAUUAACACGUUGAUAACCUCCUAUAAGACUGGCAUAACUUCUGGAAACCGUAGCUAUACCCGAUACUUAUAGAUGGAUCCGCGCUGCAUUAGCUACUUGGUAAGGUAACGGCUUACCAAGGCAACGCUGCAUAGCAGACCUGAGAAGGUGAUCGGCCAAACUGGAACUGAGUCACGGGACAGAGUCAUACGGGAGGAAGCAGUAGGGAAUCUUCCGGAAUGGGCGAAAGCCUGAAGGAGCGACGCAGCUUGAGUGAUGAAGGUAUUAGGAUCGUAAAACUCUGUUAUUAGGGAAGCGGGACCUAAUCAGAAAGCCACGGCUAAAUCCUUGCCAGCAGCCGCGGUAUAC
rnacentral:rRNA from 1 species